GAUGAACGCUGGCGGCGUGCCUAAUACAUGCAAGUCGAGCGAAUGGAUUAAGAGCUUGCUCUUAUGAAGUUAGCGGCGGACGGGUGAGUAACACGCGGGUAACCUGCCCAUAAGACUGGGAUAACUCCGGGAAACCGGGGCUAAUACCGGAUAACAUUUUGAACCGCAUGGUUCGAAAUUGAAAGGCGGCUUCGGCUGUCACUUAUGGAUGGACCCGCGUCGCAUUAGCUAGUUGGUGAGGUAACGGCGCACCAAGGCAACGAUGCGUAGCCGACCGUCGAGGGUGAUCGGCCACACUGGGACUGAGACACGGCCCAGACUCCUACGGGAGGCAGCAGUAGGGAAUCUUCCGCAAUGGACGAAAGUCUGACGGAGCAACGCCGCGUGAGUGAUGAAGGCUUUCGGGUCGUAAAACUCUGUUGUUAGGGAAGAACAAGUGCUAGUUGAAUAAGCUAACACCUUGACGGUACCUAACCAGAAAGCCACGGCUAACUACGUGCCAGCAGCCGCAGUAA
rnacentral:rRNA from 1 species